rnacentral:tRNA from 1 species
GCCCGCAUAGCUCAGUCGGUAGAGCAUCAGACUUUUAAUCUGAGGGUCGCAAGUUCAUGUCCCUCUGCGGGCG